GGGCGCAGUGGCGCAUGCCUGUAGUCCCAGCUACUAGGGAGGCUGAGGUGGGAGGAUCGCUUGACCCCAGGAGUUCUGAGCUGUAGUGUGCUAUGCCAAUCAGGUGUCCGCACUAAGUUCGGCAUCGAUAUAGUGACCUCCCUGGAGCGGGGGACCACCAAGUUGCCUAAGGAGGGGCGAACCAGCCCCGGUCAGAAAUGGAGCAGGUCAAAACUCCCGUGCUGAUCAGUAGUGGGAUCGCGCCUGUGAAUAGCCACUGCACUCCAGCCUGGGCAACGUAGCGAGACCCUGUCUCU
rnacentral:SRP_RNA from 1 species